UAUUGGGCAAUGGGCGCAAGCCUGACCCAGCAACGCCGCGUGAAGGAAGAAGGCUUUCGGGUUGUAAACUUCGUUUAAGAGGGAAGAGCAGAAGACGGUACCUCUUGAAUAAGCCACGGCUAACUACGUGCCAGCAGCCGCGGUAAUACGUAGGUGGCAAGCGUUGCCCGGAUUUACUGGGUGUAAAGGACGUGCAGCCGGGCUUACAAGUCAGAUGUGAAAUCCUGCUGCUCAACCGCAGAACUGCAUUUGAAACUGUAGGUCUUGAGUACUGGAGAGGCAGACGGAAUUCCUAGUGUAGCGGUGAAAUGCGUAGAUAUUAGGAGGAACACCAGUGGCGAAGGCGGUCUGCUGGACAGCAACUGACGGUGAGGCGCGAAAGCGUGGGGAGCAAACAGG
rnacentral:rRNA from 1 species